rnacentral:snRNA from 1 species
GUGCUCACUUUGGCAGCAUAUACACUAAUAUUUGGGAUGAUACAGAGAUUAGCAUGGACCCUGCACAAAGAUGACAUGCAAACUGGUGAAGCAUUUCCUAUUUUU